AACGAACGCUGGCGGCAGGCCUAACACAUGCAAGUCGAGCGCGCCCUUCGGGGUGAGCGGCGGACGGGUGAGUAACGCGUGGGAACGUGCCCUUCUCUGCGGAAUAGCCUCGGGAAACUGAGAGUAAUACCGCAUACGCCCUUUGGGGGAAAGAUUUAUCGGAGAAGGAUCGGCCCGCGUUGGAUUAGGUAGUUGGUGGGGUAAUGGCCCACCAAGCCGACGAUCCAUAGCUGGUUUGAGAGGAUGAUCAGCCACACUGGGACUGAGACACGGCCCAGACUCUUACGGGAGGCAGCAGUGGGGAAUCUUAGACAAUGGGGGCAACCCUGAUCUAGCCAUGCCGCGUGAGUGAUGAAGGCCUUAGGGUUGUAAAGCUCUUUCAGCUGGGAAGAUAAUGACGGUACCAGCAGAAGAAGCCCCGGCUAACUCCGUG
rnacentral:rRNA from 1 species